UAUACUGGCUGCACUCUUGGGUUUUUUUUUAACUGCUUGCUUAGCAUACAAGUGGUGCAGCUGGAAUGCUGCUCACUGUCACCCUGGUAGGCAGACAGGUACCCUGGCUGCAGAAAAUAAAAAGUUUGGUGUGUCUGCUUGCUGUGAGGUGGCUUCACUGCAUGUUGGGACCUGCAUGGUCUGUAGGACACACCGCCUUUGUGUUGAUGCCAAGGGUGGCAAUAUGGUCCAUCUCAUGUAAAUGGGAGACAGCCCUUGGGCUCCUGGCAGGCUGCCAGCUCUCUUAUGAAGAUAAUAUCACUGUGAUAUUCUGCAGGGAUCAAUUAAAAUGCUGCAGCCACUUCAAGCACGUGGGAUCCCCUAACCCAGAAUUCUUAAGUACAGCAAAGAUUUAUGUAGUUAUCGUAGCCACAUGCACGGAUGCAUAGAAGAGCUGGAGCUGGAGUUACUGUCAGUAGCUUCUAACUGAAAGCUCUAAAAAUGAGAAGAUGAAUACAAUACACAGAAUUGGAUUUUAAAUAUACUCUCCAACAGGUCAGAGUAUAUUUAAAAUCCAAUGUUUCCAUCGCUGACAAAAGAGAACAGUCCUGCAAAUCUAUCUAGCUCACUACAGUUUUCUGCUAGUUCAUGUACAAUAUUGGCAGAUUAAUAAUUUCUUUAUGCUUUUUCUCCAGGAGAAGCCAUAAUUUUCUCUAAUACCAUAGUGGGUUUUUGUGGAAAUUAGCAUACUACAAAAUGAGAAUGGCAAAUAACUCCAUUUCCAAAUGCUAUGUUCAGCAGCCAGAUUUAUUAGUGGAUUUGGCAGCAUUUGCCAACUCCUUUGCACAUGAAUAACUCCACUCACAUUGUUUAAACAAAUGAAACUAGGAUAAAUGAGAUUAAUUUGCCAAUAGCAAAUUACAUUCUAUUUUAAAAUAAGAAUUAGCCUGUACCAAACCCACAUGCUUUUGUUUAUUUCCCAUAUAAUUUAUGCACAAGAACACUAUAGCAGAUUAUCUGAGAUUAUAGGCUUCAGUGCACUUAAGUAGAAGAAAAUUGGAGGAGUGUCCUGCAACAGGGGUACCUUUCCAAGAACCUGGGGGUCACAGAAGGACCUGACACAAGGAGAUAAAGCAACCCUGAACCUCUUACAGAGCUCAUGCCACUCUGAGGAGAAAACAGUUGGCUUAGUCAACACUCCCAGAUCAGACUGAGGGAGCAUAAAGCUGGAUUAACCUACCCUUGCAGAUAUUGCUACAUAUGUAGUCAUAGAUGGGGGCACUGGUUACUCUACCCAGGAGAAGGCAGAGUCUGCUGUAAACACCACACGACACCUUAACAAAUUGUCUGUCAUAUUGUUUCGUUUGUCUGUCACAUUUUCAAACUGGUCUGUUCCCAAUCAUGGCAUUCCUCAAUUUUCUAUAUAAAGUUGAUGUAACUAUGGCAUUCCAGCUAUCACUGAUGGAAAGUGAAAUUUUUUUAUUAAUACAACUUUGUGCUUCUGUGCCACAAAUACUCUUAAAAAUGUUCCCUAUACCCUCCCUAAGCUUGGCAUAUGUCUUUUCUUUUAAGAAGUCAUGAUCCCUCUUCAUUUCCCCAUGGCUGUUUCUGCUUCCUCCACUGAACACUUCUUUUCCACUUGCCAUAUUCCUCUCUAAAUCACCUCCAUUUAUCUAUCGCUCUCCCUCAUAUACCUUUCUUUAACAUAUAUUCAUUCCAUUUGUCCUACAGGUGUUUUCAGACUUUUGCUGUUUCUUCCCUUCCCCACUUCUCCGAAGGGUUUUUUUGUUCACAUUUGUCCAUCAGGACUUCUCCUCCCACUCUGUUUUCUGUCCCAUCACCCUUGUGGACUGUGUGAUAGGUACUCCCUCCCUGAAGUGCAGAGCCUUCAAGAUGGAAUCUAAUGCCAGUGGUGGCAGAGGGACCAUGAAGGAUGCCUUCUCUCCUUGGGCCUUCACCUGGGAAGAGAUACUUGGAGUAUGAAAUAAGAAAAUAACAUGAAAUAACCCAUGGUGUCACCUCCUUACUUGGAGGUGGCACCAUGGGUUAGACCACCCUUCCAGCAGGGCUGGCAAGACUUGGAGACAAAUGAUGACUUCCCCUGAUAAAGUCCACUAACUUGGAGGUGGGCUGAAAGCAUCUUUCUCUUAAAAAAACCCCAGAACUUUCAAAAAGGCAGGAGCUCUGCUGUUGAUGUCAUGGAGGGACCAAGGCGCAGCAAUCCUUGUAUAACGAAGGCAAAACCAUUUCCCCUGUUCAUGUUUUUAAUACCCAUGAAAAUAAAUUUGCUAUGUGUAAUGUUGCAAA